rnacentral:rRNA from 1 species
ACGUAGGGUGCAAGCGUUAAUCGGAAUUACUGGGCGUAAAGCGUGCGCAGGCGGUUCGGAAAGAAAGAUGUGAAAUCCCAGAGCUUAACUUUGGAACUGCAUUUUUAACUACCGAGCUAGAGUGUGUCAGAGGGAGGUGGAAUUCCGCGUGUAGCAGUGAAAUGCGUAGAUAUGCGGAGGAACACCGAUGGCGAAGGCAGCCUCCUGGGAUAACACUGACGCUCAUGCACGAAAGCGUGGGGAGCAAACAGGA